AGCUCAGCUGGGAGAGCAUCUGCCUUACAAGCAGAGGGUCGGCGGUUCGAACCCGUCA
rnacentral:tRNA from 1 species